CACACUUAGCUUUUGCUAGUCCUCGAGCAAAACAAAGAAACAAAAGAAAAACAAAACGAAACAAAACAAACAAAAACAACCUAAACCUUCCAACGUUUGCCUCAGGGAUUUCCAAUGCACAUGACAUAUUAAAAAUCAUCAUUCCCACAGAUUUUAGCCAUCUUUACACUUAAGCACAUACUUAAUUAUAGUUACCACGUA
rnacentral:lncRNA from 1 species